GAAACCAGACAUGCUUGCAAAAGAAUAUUUCUUACCAGUUAGUCUCUGGUCUCUUUCGCUCUGUGCAAACUGGUUAAAUGAAAGGUAAAAGUCACCAUUUGUCCCUUCUGUAAAGUUUUAAAUUGGUUUAAUAAUAAUAUAAGAGCUUAAAUCAAAUAUUUUGUCAGAAAAGUGAAAAAUGUAAUGCUUUUUAUUUAGUUCAUGUGACUUGAGUAAUCUUUAGGAAAUAAACAGUUUUAAAGAUUAUUGGUAAAAUACAGUUGUCUUGAAAAUGUAAACAUGUGGUCUAAGUUAUGUUCAAAUAUUAGGUUUGCUAAAUGCUUUAAGGUCAUAAACUGCUUCUUUGGUGUUUGAAAUUUGUUUAACUUGCCUGCUUUCCAGCUAGGUAAGGCCUGAGGACAGCCCACUCGGGAUGGCCCUGGGGGCUUCUGAGAUGAAAGAGGCCUUCUUGGGAGGCUCCCAGCAUUCCCUGUGCUCUUGCCUCUUCUCCCCUCUGCCUGCCUGAAGAUCCCCCUGAGUCCCUGCCACCCCCUCUCCAUGGGGAGUUGGCCAUGCCCCUAACUAUGCUGGAAACAUUCUAAUCUUAUCAGAACACAACUUAGCAGGUUUUACAUUACAAUUAAGAUUGCUAGGAGUCACCAUUAACAUGUAAUUAAGAUUACUAGAAACAGUUUUAUAUGCAAGAUGUGUAAGAAUAGUAAAAUGUGUUUUUUUUUUUUUUUUGGUAAAAGGUUAUAAAGGGUUUUUGCUUAAAAUUUCUGAGUCAUCAUUUUGGCAAAAUAAGUAAUUUAGGGCAAUCUGGAAUUCCAAAAUCAAACUUCAGUUUCAAAAUUGUCUUUUCUAAUGCCUGGCUUUUUGGAUGGAUCAGAUGGCCCCUGAAAACAUCCAGAAAAGAGAGACCAUCUAGCUUCAGAUGAUCAUGCAACAAAGGCUCCAGCCAAUUCCAGGUAAAGACACCACCCCUGGCCAUCAAGGAGAUACCCUGCCUCCACUAGAGAGAGCAGAGUGAGAGUUCUGUGAUCCUCAAUAGGUAGAAACUACACCCCAAGCCAGCAUGAAGCAGCUACAGAAGAAAGACCAGCUGUCCCUCUGCCUCCCAUAAAGAUUUAUGAAGAUCACAUCUCUCAGUGGGGAAAUGAGUCAAGAAAAUAAUGUCUGGAGGCAGGGAACAUAAGGCCAAUUAACACUUCAGCUAUGACAGGAAAUAUCCUUUCCAUAGGGUGUACACUAAGUGACUUCGUAACCUUACUUUGUCCUCUUCAUUUACAUAGGGCAUACAGCAAGUAACCAAUGGAAACUGCUAGAGUGUAUUUAAACUCCCACAAAUUCUGUAAUGGGGCCCUAUGCUCAUGCCCAUUACCACA
rnacentral:lncRNA from 1 species